rnacentral:rRNA from 1 species
UGGGGAAUCUUGGACAAUGGGGGCAACCCUGAUCCAGCCAUGCCGCGUGAGUGAUGAAGGCCUUAGGGUCGUAAAGCUCUUUCGCCUGUGAAGAUAAUGACGGUAGCAGGUAAAGAAACCCCGGCUAACUCCGUGCCAGCAGCCGCGGUAAUACGGAGGGGGUUAGCGUUGUUCGGAAUUACUGGGCGUAAAGCGCACGUAGGCGGACCAGAAAGUUGGGGGUGAAAUCCCGGGGGCUCAACCCCGGAACUGCCUCCAAAACUAUUGGUCUAGAGUUCGAGAGAGGUGAGUGGGAAUUCCAAGUGUAGAGGUGAAAUUCGUAGAUAUUUGGAGGAACACCAGUGGCGAAGGCGGCUCACUGGCUCGAUACUGACGCUGAGGUGCGAAAGUGUGGGGAGCAAACAGGAUUAGAUACCCUGGUAGUCCACACCGUAAAACGAUGAAUGCCAGUCGUCGGGUAGCAUGCUAUUCGGUGACACACCUAACGGAUUAAGCAUUCCGGCCUGGGGAGUACGGUCGCAAGAUUAAAA